CCUACGGGCGGCAGCAGUGAGGAAUAUUGGUCAAUGGACGAGAGUCUGAACCAGCCAAGUAGCGUGAAGGAUGACUGCCCUAUGGGUUGUAAACUUCUUUUAUAUGGGAAUAAAAUGUUCCACGUGUGGGAUUUUGUAUGUACCAUAUGAAUAAGGAUCGGCUAACUCCGUGCCAGCAGCCGCGGUAAUACGGAGGAACCGAGCGUUAUCCGGAUUUAGUGGGUUUAAAGGGAGCGUAGGUGGAUUGUUAAGUCAGUUGUGAAAGUUUGCGGCUCAACCGUAAAAUUGCAGUUGAAACUGGCAGUCUUGAGUACAGUAGAGGUGGGCGGAAUUCGUGGUGUAGCGGUGAAAUGCUUAGAUAUCACGAUGAACUCCGAUUGCGAAGGCAACUCACUGGACUGCAACUGACACUGAGGCUCGAAAGUGUGGGUAUCAAACAGGAUUAGAUACCCGGGUAGUC
rnacentral:rRNA from 1 species